UCAAAUUUGAAAUCUGGCUCUUCCGGAGUCCGAGUUGUAAUUUGUAGAAGAUGCUUUGGGUUGUGGGUUCGGCCUAAGUUCCUUGGAACAGGACGUCAUAGAGGGUGAGAAUCCCGUAUGUGGCCGAGGCCCGCGCCUAUGUAAAGCUCUUUCAACGAGUCGAGUUGUUUGGGAAUGCAGCUCAAAAUGGGUGGUAAAUUUCAUCUAAAGCUAAAUAUGGGCCAGAGACCGAUAGCGCACAAGUAGAGUGAUCGAAAGAUGAAAAGCACUUUGGAAAGAGAGUUAAACAGUACGUGAAAUUGUUGAAAGGGAAGCGCUUGCAACCAGACUUGGGCGCUGCCGAUCACCUUGAGUUUUCUCGAGUGCACUCGACAGCGCACAGGCCAGCAUCGGUUCGGGUGGCUGGAUAAAGGCCGUAGGAAUGUGGCUCUCUUCGGGGAGUGUUAUAGCCUACGGUGCCAUGCAGCCCAGCCGGACCGAGGACCGCGCCUUCGGGCUAGGAUGCUGGCGUAAUGGUUGUAAGCGACCCGUCUUGAAACACGGACCAAGGAGUCUAACAUCUAUGCGAGUGUUUGGGUGGUAAACCCAUACGCGGAAUGAAAGUGAACGUAGGUGAGAACCCCUUUGGGGCGCAUCAUCGACCGAUCCUGAUGUCUUCGGAUGGAUUUGAGUAAGAGCAUAGCUGUUGGGACCCGAAAGAUGGUGAACUAUGCCUGAAUAGGGUGAAGCCAGAGGAAACUCUGGUGGAGGCUCGCAGCGGUUCUGACGUGCAAAUCGAUCGUCAAAUUUGGGCAUAGGGGCGAAAGACUAAUCGAACCAUCUAGUAGCUGGUUCCUGCCGAAUUCCCCCAAGAAA
rnacentral:rRNA from 1 species